CGGGCCGUAUUUGCCUAGGUGACUGGUUAGUGGGAUCAUAUACACAAAUAUGAAGGCGGGCUGGAACCUCUCGGGGUUACAGCCUUGCUGAAUUAUUCACCCUUGUCUUUUGCGUACUUCUUGUUUCCUUGGUGGGUUCGCCCACCACUAGGACAAACAUAAACCUUUUGUAAUUGCAAUCAGCGUCAGUAACAAAUUAAUAAUUACAACUUUCAACAACGGAUCUCUUGGUUCUGGCAUCGAUGAAGAACGCAGCGAAAUGCGAUAAGUAGUGUGAAUUGCAGAAUUCAGUGAAUCAUCGAAUCUUUGAACGCACAUUGCGCCCUUUGGUAUUCCAAAGGGCAUGCCUGUUCGAGCGUCAUUUGUACCCUCAAGCUUUGCUUGGUGUUGGGCGUCUUGUCUCUAGCUUUGCUGGAGACUCGCCUUAAAGUAAUUGGCAGCCGGCCUACUGGUUUCGGAGCGCAGCACAAGUCGCACUCUCUAUCAGCAAAGGUCUAGCAUCCAUUAAGCCUUUUUUUUCAACUUUUGACCUCGGAUCAGGUAGGGAUACCCGCUG
rnacentral:rRNA from 1 species